UACGUCGGUGGCAAGCGUUGUCCGGAUUUAUUGGGUUUAAAGGGUGCGUAGGCGGCCUAUUAAGUCAGUUCUGAAAUAUCCCGGCUUAACCGGGAGGGUGGGAUUGAUACUGAUGGGCUUGAGUGGAAUCGAGGUAGGCGGAAUUGACGGUGUAGCGGUGAAAUGCUUAGAUAUCGUCAAGAACACCGAUAGUGUAGACAGCUUACUAGACUUCAACUGACGCUGAGGCACGAAAGUGUGGGGAUCAAACAGG
rnacentral:rRNA from 1 species